GACGGAGCGAGCACGCCCCACGAGGUUGCGGAGUGGCGCGCGCUCGCGCAGUCACAGCGACACGGCUCUUGUUCAGAUGUUUAGAAGGUCAUGAUGUGAAAUAACAUGGAACAAUAUGAGCCGAACACUGUGGGUCGCCCUGAGACGCAUCAUUCUCAUCAUCGUGACAGCUAUUGAAAUUAUCAAUUCAAUCUGCCAAAUGAGGAAGAAGCCAGAUGACUAAAUAAACCGUGAUGCCGUUGCACACAUGCAGGUUCGGAGCUGCGGCGCAGCUCAUGCCGCUUAUUCGCCCCCCACCCCCCCUCAAACUUUGGGAGAAAUCCCCAUCAGCCUAUCAAACAACCUCACAGAUAAUAUCUCAAGGAGCUGGAGACGUCAUAGCUUUUAGUCCCAUUAAUCGCUCAACCACUGCAGACCCCCCCCCCCCCUCCUCUGCUCUCAGAGGGGUGAAGAUUAGGACAAGUGCCAUAAUCGUCACAGGCCAAGCAUGAGGAGCAGCGUCGACUCUGGGGGUAAAACGUCUCCCCUAUGGAAGAGAGACAAACAGCAGCAGGUCUGCAGCCGAGCAGCACGAAGAGGGGAGAAUGAAGCGAGAUUCAAGAUGCUAAUGCUAAAAUGGAAAAAGGCCGAGCUCCUCUGGGGUCACUGGUCUUUCCGACCCGGAGUGGAGCGAGUGCUCAGUGCUCCAGGUUUUUGGGUCACUCAUUAUGAUGUUGCAACUAACAUGACACCGUAAACCAUAUAACACCACGCUAUCUGAAAGCCAGGGCACGAUUUACCAUCACUGGAUAAUAUUUCAGACUUGUUUAACAGAUGUUAAUGUAAAAACAGCAUUAAUUCACAGCUCGAUGAUGUUUACAGUGGCCAUGAUAGAAAAUAACAUUUACACUCCAAUACUAUUUUAUACUAAUUCAUACCCUGUUAUGUUUUAGAGGGAAUUCCCUUUACUGAGAUUAUUAUUAUAACAAGACAAUAAAAAUGUGCUGCUUAGAUGUUAGUGCAUCUAUUGAAUCCUCCUCCUCCGUUAUUUACAUCUAUUUAUGUAUUAAUAUUGCUUAAACAUUUUAUAGUUACCAUUUUUUAUGCUUUAUAAACCUGCUCCUGAGCUGAUUACCU